GACGAACGCUGGCGGCGUGCUUAACACAUGCAAGUCGAACGGAAAGGCCCCUUUGGGGGUCCUCGAGUGGCGAACGGGUGAGUAACACGUGAGUAACCUGCCCUUGACUUCGGGAUAACUUCAGGAAACUGGGGCUAAUACCGGAUAGGAAUCCUUGCUGCAUGGUGGGGGUUGGAAAGCUUCGGCGGUUUUGGAUGGACUCGCGGCUUAUCAGCUUGUUGGUGGGGUAGUGGCUUACCAAGGCUUUGACGGGUAGCCGGCCUGAGAGGGCGACCGGCCACAUUGGGACUGAGAUACGGCCCAGACUCCUACGGGAGGCAGCAGUGGGGAAUAUUGCACAAUGGGCGGAAGCCUGAUGCAGCAACGCCGCGUGCGGGAUGACGGCCUUCGGGUUGUAAACCGCUUUCAGCAGGGGCGAAGCUUGUGGUGACGGUACCUGCAGAAGAAGCACCGGUUAACUACGUG
rnacentral:rRNA from 1 species